ACCGUGUGUACCUUUGUCAGCUCAUGCACUGGAGCCCCUUCGUAUGCACCUGAUAUUUGCACUGCCAGCUGGACGGAAGCCUUUUCUUCUCUGGUAGUAUCCCCGGUCCACUUGAGACACAAUGGCCGUGACGUUCCGAUCAGCCCUAAUUCGUCCAUCAGGCUAUGAUCGAUGAAGGUCGAUGACGAACCUUCGUCGAGAAAGGCGUACGUUCGAACCGUCCUGCCAUCCUUCCCAUACAUAGUUACCGAGAACCAUGUAGCAACCUAUGGUGCAUUGCCUCGCACCCAUUGGAUCCGCAAACUGUUUUAAGCGACGGUCAUCGUUUGGAAUCGCUGGCAUGUAUCCAGUGCGGCACACUCUCCCUGGCAGGCUGAACAUUUAGAAACAUUUGUA